rnacentral:tRNA from 1 species
UGGGCUGUAACUCAGUUGAUAGAGUGCUUGCUUAGCAUUCAUGAGGGCCUGGGUUCGAUUCCCAGCACUGUAG